rnacentral:rRNA from 1 species
UAGGGAAUAUUGCACAAUGGAGGAAACUCUGAUGCAGCCAUGCCGCGUGUGUGAAGAAGGCCUUAGGGUUGUAAAGCACUUUCAGUAAGGAAGAAAAAGCUGGGUUAAUACCCCAGUCUUAUGACAUUACUUACAGAAGAAGUACCGGCUAACUCCGUGCCAGCAGCCGCGGUAAUACGGAGGGUACGAACGUUAAUCGGAAUUACUGGGCGUAAAGCGCGCGUAGGUGGUUUUUUAAGUGGGAUGUGAAAGCCCCGGGCUCAACCUGGGAACUGCAUUCCAAACUGAAGAACUAGAGUACGAUAGAGGGAGGUAGAAUUCAGAGUGUAGCGGUGAAAUGCGUAGAUAUUCUGAGGAAUACCGGUGGCGAAGGCGGCCUCCUGGAUUGAUACUGACACUGAGGUGCGAAAGCGUGGGGAGCAAACAGGAUUAGAUACCCCCGUAGUCC